CGCUAGUGAGUAUUUUUCCGGCGUUGCUCCGCAAGCUUUUUAUGUUUGGAUGCACGUUCCUCGCCCCCCCCCAAAAAUGCCUAAAAGAUCUUAUCCUUUCGCUGAAUCUUUCUCAUCGCAGCAUAAAAUUCACAUUGGACAAAAGGAGUUGAAUAAUCGCGGCGAUUAUGGGGACAAGUAUAGACAAGAAAUCUACGAAAAGACAGACCCUGCUCUUCAACGGUACCAAAGCUGUCAUGGGGAAAAUCUGGAAUAUAGAUACGGAGAAGUGCUCAACGAUACAGCCUUCGGGGUCAGGUGUGACACCUGACGGGAGCCGCACACUACUGAGGGGACAGACACCGAUU